CGCGGCCUAUCAGCUUGUUGGUGAGGUAAUGGCUUACCAAGGCGACGACGGGUAGCCGGCCUGAGAGGGCGAUCGGCCACACUGGGACUGAGACACGGCCCAGACUCCUACGGGAGGCAGCAGUGGGGAAUAUUGCACAAUGGGCGAAAGCCUGAUGCAGCGACGCCGCGUGAGGGAUGAAGGCCUUCGGGUUGUAAACCUCUUUCAGCAGGGAAGAAGCAGCCGGGUUCUCUUGGUUGUGACGGUACCUGCAGAAGAAGCACCGGCUAACUACGUGCCAGCAGCCGCGGUAAUACGUAGGGUGCAAGCGUUGUCCGGAAUUAUUGGGCGUAAAGAGCUUGUAGGCGGUUUGUCGCGUCUGCUGUGAAGUUUCGGGGCUCAACCCCGAACUUGCAGUGGGUACGGGCAGACUGGAGUGUGGUAGGGGAGACUGGAAUUCCUGGUGUAGCGGUGAAAUGCGCAGAUAUCAGGAGGAACACCGAUGGCGAAGGCAGGUCUCUGGGCCACUACUGACGCUGAGAAGCGAAAGCGUGGGGAGCGAACAGGAUUAGAUACCCUGGUAGUCCACGCCGUAAACGUUGGGAACUAGGUGUGGGUCUCAUUCCACGAGAUCCGUGCCGCAGCUAACGCAUUAAGUUCCCCGCCUGGGGAGUACGG
rnacentral:rRNA from 1 species